rnacentral:rRNA from 1 species
GAUGAACGCUGGCGGCGUGCCUAAUACAUGCAAGUCGAGCGAACAGAUGAGGAGCUUGCUCCUCUGACGUUAGCGGCGGACGGGUGAGUAACACGUGGAUAACCUACCUAUAAGACUGGGAUAACUUCGGGAAACCGGAGCUAAUACCGGAUAAUAUAUUGAACCGCAUGGUUCAAUAGUGAAAGACGGUUUUGCUGUCACUUAUAGAUGGAUCCGCGCCGCAUUAGCUAGUUGGUAAGGUAACGGCUUACCAAGGCAACGAUGCGUAGCCGACCUGAGAGGGUGAUCGGCCACACUGGAACUGAGACACGGUCCAGACUCCUACGGGAGGCAGCAGAAGGGAAUCUUCCGCAAUGGGCGAAAGCUUGACGGAGCAACGCCGCGUGAGUGAUGAAGGUCUUCGGAGCGUAAAACUCUGUUAUUAGGGAAGAACAAAUGUGUAAGUAACUAUGCACGUCUUGACGGUACCUAAUCAGAAAGCCACGGCUAACUACGUG